rnacentral:sRNA from 1 species
GCUUUCGUUCAGGGUGGUGGGGCAAGAGAAGAAAUGCUGUACCAGACUUAGUCCGGUCGUAAGGUCAAAGGUAGCAUUUAGUUUAGGGUAGCAUUUAGUUUACACAACAUUUGCAUUAGGAUAGCACUAAGUUUAAAGUAGCAUUUAGUUUAGGGUAGCAUUUAAUUUAGUUACAUUCAGAUUAGGGUAGCACAGAGUUUAAGGUAGCAUUUAGUUUAGGGUAGCAUUUAGUUUAGAAUAUAGGCUAGAGAUAGGUUACAUUUAGUUUAGGGUUCCAUUUAGUUUACACAACAUUUAGUUUAGAGUAUAGGCUAGAGAUAGGUUACAUUUAGUUUAGGGUUCCAUUUAGUUUACACAACAUUUAGUUUAGAAUAUAGGCUAGAGAUAUGUUACAUUUAGUUUAGGAAUAGCAUUUAGUUUAGGGUAUAGUUUACACAACAUUUAGUUUAGAGUAUAGGCUAGAGAUAGGUUACAUUUAAUUUAGGAUUCCAUUUAGUUUACACAACAUUUAGUUUAGAAUAUAGGCUAGAGAUAGGUUACAUUUAGUUUAGGAUAGCAUUUAGUUUAGGGUAACAUUUAGUUUACACAACAUUUAGUUUAGACGUCCGGCCUAAGGCAGCAAUUAGUUUAGAAUAUAGGCGGAGAUAGGUUACAUUUAGUUUAGGAUAGCAUUUAGAUUAGGGUAACAUUUAGUUUAGAAUAUAGGCGGAGAUAGGUUACAUUUAGUUUAGGAUAGCAUUUAGAUUAGGGUAACAUUUAGUUUAGAAUAUAGGCGGAGAUAGGUUACAUUUAGUUUAGGAUAGCAUUUAGAUUAGGGUAACAUUUAGUUUAGAAUAUAGGCGGAGAUAGGUUACAUUUAGUUUAGGAUAGCAUUUAGAUUAGGGUAGCAUUUAGAUUAGAAUAUAGGCUAGAGAUAGGUUACAUUUAGAUUAGGAUAGCAUUUAGUUUAGG